rnacentral:rRNA from 1 species
UACGAAGGGGACUAGCGUUGUUCGGAAUUACUGGGCGUAAAGCGCACGUAGGCGGAUUUGUUAGUCAGGGGUGAAAUCCCGGGGCUCAACCUCGGAACUGCCUUUGAUACUGCAAGUCUCGAGUCCGAUAGAGGUGAGUGGAAUUCCGAGUGUAGAGGUGAAAUUCGUAGAUAUUCGGAAGAACACCAGUGGCGAAGGCGACUCGCUGGACAAGUAUUGACGCUGAGGUGCGAAAGCGUGGGGAGCAAACAGGG